rnacentral:tRNA from 1 species
GGCAGCAGCCAGGUCGGUAUAGCGAUCGGCCGCUUUCGUGGCGGCAUCGCGGGCGCGUUCGCGGCCUGGCUCGGUUUCACGCUGCCGUCG